UACGGAGGGCGCAAGCGUUUUUCGGAAUCACUGGGCGUAAAGCGCGUGUAGGCGGCUUGGCAAGUCGGGUGUGAAAUCCCGAGGCUCAACCUCGGAACUGCACUCGAAACUGCCUCGCUCGAGUCCCGGAGAGGGUGGCGGAAUUCCCGGUGUAGGGGUGAAAUCCGUAGAUAUCGGGAGGAACACCAGUGGCGAAGGCGGCCACCUGGACGGUGACUGACGCUGAGACGCGAAAGCGUGGGGAGCAAACAGG
rnacentral:rRNA from 1 species